GUCUACAGCCAUACCACCCUGAAUGCACCCAAUCUCAUCUAAUCUCAGAGGCUAAGCAGUGUUGGGUGUGGUUAGUACAUGGGUGGGCGACCACUGGGGAAUACUGGGUGCUGUAGUUU
rnacentral:rRNA from 1 species